CCCUUAGAUGUCCUGGGCCGCACGCGCGCUACACUGACAUGUUCAACAAGUUUCUCCUAGUUCGACAGGACUGGGAAAUCUUUGAACGCAUGUCGUGAUAGGGAUAGAUCAUUGCAAUUAUUGAUCUUGAACGAGGAAUUCCUAGUAAACGCGAGUCAUCAGCUCGCAUUGAUUACGUCCCUGCCCUUUGUACACACCGCCCGUCGCACCUACCGAUUGAAUGUUUCGGUGAAGAUUCCGGAUAGGACUGAUUUGAUUUAUUUCAUUUCUGACCUAAAAACUAUCUAAACCUCAACAUUUAGAGGAAGGUGAAGUCGUAACA
rnacentral:rRNA from 1 species